AUUGAACGCUGGCGGCAGGCCUAACACAUGCAAGUCGAGCGGAUGAAGGGAGCUUGCUCCUGGAUUCAGCGGCGGACGGGUGAGUAAUGCCUAGGAAUCUGCCUGGUAGUGGGGGAUAACGUCCGGAAACGGGCGCUAAUACCGCAUACGUCCUGAGGGAGAAAGUGGGGGAUCUUCGGACCUCACGCUAUCAGAUGAGCCUAGGUCGGAUUAGCUAGUUGGUGGGGUAAAGGCCUACCAAGGCGACGAUCCGUAACUGGUCUGAGAGGAUGAACAGUCACACUGGAACUGAGGCACGGCCCAGACUCCGACGGUAGGCAGCAGUGGGGAAUAUUGGACGAUGGGCGAAAGCCUGAUCCAGCCAUGCCGCGUGUGUGAAGAAGGUCUUCGGAUUGUAAAGCACUUUAAGUUGGGAGGAAGGGCAGUAAGUUAAUACCUUGCUGUUUUGACGUUACCAACAGAAUAAGCACCGGCUAACUUCGUG
rnacentral:rRNA from 1 species